rnacentral:rRNA from 1 species
UACAGAGGUCUCGAGCGUUAUGCGGAAUCACUGGGCUUAAAGCGUGUGUAGGCGGGUCGUUAAGUACCUUGUGAAAUCCCAUGGCUCAACCAUGGAACUGCUUGGUAUACUGGCGAUCUUGUGCAACCUAGGGGCGAGCGGAACAGAUGGUGGAGCGGUGAAAUGCGUAGAUAUCAUCUGGAACGCCAAUGGUGAAAACAGCUCGCUGGGGGUUUGCAGACGCUGAGACACGAAAGCCAGGGGAGCGAACGGG